UCGCCCGUUUCGCUUCGUUUAGUUUCCACUGCUUCAUACAAGAGACAAAAAUCAACGCCUCGCCUUUGCCCUCUCCCUCGCCCUCGCUCCCCUCCUCCCACACACACACACACAACCACCCGCCACAGCGCCUUUUCUUUUCUGCGCCCCUCUCUCUUUUUGAGGUUUCCCUUCAAUCGCACAUCCUCGGCGUCCGCGUCUGUUGGCCUAUCGCCGUCCUGUGUAUCAGCUGUGGUGCUCUUCGCCGACCCCUGACCCAACGCCUCUUUUUCCUGUAUCCUCCUCGCGCUCAUUCCUCUACAAACCAUUGUUGCUUGCCCCCUCCCCCUCCAGGGGCCGCACUCUUCCACCGUGCUACCGCUGCACACGCACAUACAAGCACGUACAAGGAACCAGCGUUUCAGCCUUACUAUCAUCGCCGCGUCCAUCACCGUGCCUCGCGAUCUCUUCCCAUAUAUAGUCGUCCUCUAUAGUUUCAUAGACACCGCCUGCUUUCUAUUAUUAUUGUUUUAGCUUCUACCAUCCCCUCUCUCCUUGUCCUUUCUGGCGUCUCUCUCUCCACUCUCUGCCGAUCUGCUCACUGUGUUGUGCCUCCUCCGCCGUCUGUCCAUCUCUCCGUAUCGCUUCUCUGCUUCGGCGUCAAGCCCGACCUUCCACGCACAGAAAACGCACACCGCCACAGACAGAGAUACCCACGCGCAUCCUUCCAGCCGCACCCCCCCCCCCAGUAACUCUCCCUCCUAUAGAUAUCCGUAGCAGGACACCCUCUUGUCUCUCUAUCCGUUUCUAUCCGACUCCGCUGCAAUCGUACCCGUCUGCACGGAGAGGUAGGCCGGAAAGCAUAGUUGCUCCCUUCAAUACGCACACAAAUAGAGGUUGCUAGCUUACUGACACUGCUUGUUUUCUUCCUCCAGCGAGCGCAGCUGUGUGCCGCAGCGCCAUCUAGCGCAUCACUCCCCCCUCCCCCUUCCCCUACACACGGGCGCCCACACGCAAGCGCAUUGAUCGAAAAUGUUCUGCGGAUCUCCGCUUACGGACUGCACGCGCGACACCAUUCAGGCCAUGAACCAGAUGCAUGAACUUUCGCACGGCGUCUCGGCGAUGAAGUCCUCCAAGACAAAGCGGCACAACCCGUACGCCAGCAAGGUGCUGGCCCCGGAAGACUCCGUCGAGUUCAACAGCAUGCUCAACUCCCCACUUUCCGCUCGCCAGUCCCCGCUGAACUGGGAGGCCCGGGCAUUUGACCCGACGUUUAUGUACAGCAACGUCAGCACGCCGUACCUGACACAGUCUCUCGCCAGCAUGUCAAUGGACCUACAGGUGCGGCGGCCGCUCUUCGGCGACAGCCCGGCUGUUCUCACGGGCAAGUCCCCUUCGGAUGCCUCCACGGAUCUUGGCGCCGGUCGCGCUCCGGUCGUCGUCGCGCCGGUGAUGCGAUCUUCGGUGACGGCACCGCCGAAAAAGGCACUGGGAAAGGUGUACGUUGGUGGCCGCCCCGUUGUGGUGCCGCGGCACGACAACGAGGUGACGGUGCAGCUGCGCCACAGCGAGGCCACCUUUGUUAUUCCCGACAUCUACAGUCUUAUGGCGUUGGAGGAGGAGACGCGGGACGUGGUGGGGCUGCCGGUUAUCGUCGAGGGCGACCGAGGCGAGGACUUCGGCGUGAUUAGCGGCAUGGCCAAGAUGGAGGCCGCGACGGUAACAGCCGCGCCGUCACCCACGACAGAAGAGGAAACGGCGGCAAAGGGGUCACCAAACUGCGCUGCGAAGCCGCUACUGAAGGUGCUGCGUGUCGCCUCCGCGCUCGAGGUGCAGAAUAGUGAGGCACUGCCGCAACGUGAGGCUGAGGCACUCGAGUACUGCCAGACCUGCCUGCAGGAGGUGCAGCUGUCGGUACCCAUCACCAUCGAGGGUGUCGUCUUCCAGUUCGACCGCAAGAAGCUCACCGUCCGCUACACAAGUGACGCCUACGUGGACUUCAAUGAUCUGACCCGCAUGCUGCACAAGAAGUACAACUGCCGCAUCUGGAUGGACCAGCUGAACCGCGACACCGUCAACGGCGCCGAGAAGCGCGGCCGCCGCGGCGAGCACGGUGGAAAGAAGAGCAACCCGCACAACAGGGGAGCAGCGAAGCGCCGUGAGCAGCAGUGAGCCAAGAGUUGAUGCGGAGAAAAAGGGGGAGGACUGAGGGGAGGGGGAGUGAGGCAGCGGUAGCGCACAUGUAAAGCAGCGCAGUACAUGCUGGCGCGACGACGCCUGAGUCUCUCCGUCUCCGCAUGCCCUACGUGCGGCGUUUUGACGUGCUUGUCUCUUCGUGAAUUCCCCCUCCUCCCCCACCGUACCGCCUCUGACGCCGGCGUCGCACAUAUCGUGCUUCAUGUGUCUGUACGAUCCGUUGAAGGCAAUCAACGUUGACCACCACGACUCCCCACCCCUCACCGCUAUCGUUAUUUUAGCCAGCCGCAUGCGUGUCAAUGGCGCUCUGCGUGCUUCGUUUGCUCGGGGUCACCUUUCGCCGCCCUUCUUUUUCUGUAUGCUCUCACUCCCCCGCCCCCUCCUUCUCGUCUUCCGUCUCUAUACGCCAUGGAUGAUUUCCUUCGCCCGUUCUCCGUUCUCCUUCGGUUCUUCUCACUUUUUUUGUUGUUUUGGCUUCCUUCUCUUGCUGCAUACGCGGAGUGUUCCUUCUUUGUUGUUAAUUUGGCGCAUGCUCUCUUCCUACCUUCGACAGUCGAUCUGUUUCCCUCUUCCUCUCUCGCCCUCUUCGUGUGUCUUCGCCGCACUCAUUUUCGACCCUCUCCCUCCUUGUAGAUGAGCGUAAAAUGUUUACUCGCCUGCGCUCGUGUCGGUGUAUGCAUGCCGCUGUCGAUGACGGUAGUUUCUGUUGUCAGAUCGCCCUCUCCUUGUCUCUCUGCGCGUAGAGAGGCAACAAGAUGGGGCAGCACAUACACAAAAAAAAACGUAUAUUGGUAUGUUCUCUUUUUCCUUUUCCAUAUUGGUCUUGUUUUUUUUUUAUUUGCUGGGCUCUUGUUGUGUGCGUGUGCGUGUCUGCGCACGCGUCUCCUCUCUUUACGGUUUCCACCCGCUCUCUGCUUUGAUUUCGUUUUUCUUUUUUUUGCCCCUUCCCCCCUCCCCGUUCGCCGUCCUCCUCCGUUGUGUUGCCCUUUUAUGGGAAUACACACAAGUACUCACGCCACGACGCCUCGCUCCUUUUUGUGUUUGCUGCACGCCUGUGCGUCUCUCUGUUAGCGUUGUGGAGUGUGGAGUGAUCGGGAGGGAGGGGAUGAGCAGCUGUACACAUAUCCGUGCAAGCCGCUCGCCCACCAAACUUCAUCUAGGUGUGUGUGUGUGUGUGUGUGUCUUACUCCAAACACCUCACACUGCAUACUUGCGCACACACCUCUUUUCGUCUACUUUAUUCGUGCUGCUUUUUUGUUUUGUUUUGCUCUCUCUGUGCGUUUUCCUGUCCUUUGCCUUUCUUUCUCCUUGUGUGUACUCGUGGCUGUAUGAACACCUUCGAUGCUGUAGGUGGCUGUGCGUGGUCCCUGUGUGCGCGCCUUUCAUAGAUCUGUGCCUUUCUGCCUUCCCCCUGUACUGCCGCUCACCAUCGUCCCUCCUCUUUUUUUUAUCUUCGUGUGCGACUGCCUUACCCCAACUCCCUCUUAUUCUGUAGUGCUUGCGUCUCGCCCUCUGUAUAACCUCCUUACAGUUUGGCCGGAGUAUCGCACCAACUCUCUUGUCCUCGAUGCCGCAGUUUGUAUGAUAUUUAGUUCUUGGGCCCACUUUUAGCGCCAGCCGCGUCGUGCAACGUCAGAGGCAACUGCUACUGGCAACGCUGCCGAGGAUUCUCCAUCCGCUGCUGACGUGAAGGUCCGCUCCACGCCCCCCUUCCCCCGCCGCACACAUACACACACACACACGAGGACAAGCGCUCAAACAUAGUCACGCUUCCGCUUCUUGCUCUUUUUGUUGUGUGCCUCUCUUCCCCUUAGAGACGCACACACACACACACACCCUCCAUUCAUAGAAUAUUGUCGAUGGCGCUUCGUGCGCCACCCCUGCUCUACCUUUUCUUGCCCCCCCCCUCAUCCCCCUCUCCCGAGCUCAACUCCCCUAUGCACUUUUUUUAUUUUAGUGGGUGGGGAAUUUUGCCCUCCUUGCAUUGUCCUCCUAGUGGUCAUGAAUCAGCACAGACGCGUACUGCGCGGCUCCACCUUUUCGAACUGUCUUCCUCUCUCUCUGCGUUGACACCCCCGUCAAGGCAUUUUUUCUGUUUUUCCUCUUGUUAUGCUUUCCGUCUUCACUCUUCAUACUCUCUCUCUCUCACACACACACACUCACUCAAUGGCCGCGUUUGCGUGCGUUUGCUUUCGACUUUUCAUUGUUUUUGUAUUGGCUCUGCUUCUCUCUCCCACUCUGAGUGUUGGAGUACGCGUGUGUACGCCUGUGUGUGUGUGUGUGUGUGUGUUGGACCCCCGCCGCUGCUCAGCGCUAAGGCACUUCUCGGCGAUAGUGAGACGCACACAGAAAGGCACACACACACACACGUACACGUACACCUUUGCACGAGAGAGAAGAGGGCUGAACCUGCACUCGCAUGCUAUUCACGCUUUUUUUUUCAUGCUUCACUUCUUGCGGAACAAAAUGGUAGCGCUUCCAUUGGAUGCACAGGUGUAUGAUACAGGUAACUGCACAAACACACACGCAUAUAUAUAUAUGUAUACUGUCACUCGUACAUGCCAAUACAGGAGGGAGGACAGCUUGCCACUCAGACAGGUGUCGCCCUUCUUUCCAACACACACACACACACACACACGUACAGACGCGGGGGCACUUCAGAUUCACCGUUACCGCUGGGCAGACGUGGUUGACGAUGCCUAAACGUGACUGCGUCAUGUAAAGUAUGCUUUGUCUCUAGGGAUCUCGCUUAUACACGCCGAGAGCUAUAAUGGCUAGCAUGCAGGCUAAACGAACGUAAUACAUGCCUGAAGCAAAACGGCUGCCGUGCGUGCGCUUGUGCUUGUCCUCAUUUUUUCUCCGCUCACGACCACUUGCUUUUCCUCUUUUCCCUACCGGACAGAAAUUUGCGCUUCGGCCUUGUACGCCUACUGCUCUUGUUUUGUGUGCGUGUGUAUUGGUCUACGUGCGUGCGCGUGUGUGUGCGCGCUCCAAGCCCCUUGACCGAGGCGCGAUGAGGUGCAGCGCACGACUCUGCCCAGCGUCUGCCGCACCCAGCCACCUCGCUCUUCCCUCCUCUACAUCUUCCCUUUACCUCCCCUUGUGAUGCGAAGGUCGAACUGAGCAGGCAAGCGCGGGUGGGACAGAACCACCACAGCGGAAAAUGCGUCGAAGAGCGACCGAAAGAUGCAUAAAAGUACAAAAUGAGCGUCAUUCCUCCUUCGUUUCCGUCCUUUUCGGCAGACAUUUUCGUGCCCGCGCCCUGUUCGAACAGUUGUGCAGGAGGAAAGACAUACGCAUGCACGCAUGCAGGCAGGCACACGAUCUCUCCUUGUGCACCACAGCGCUUGCGCGUGUGCAUGUGAGAGGUCUUGUUCUCUGCGCCGCGUGCCGUGCGUUAAAAGAAGCACAUCUGCUCUCCCUCGGUAUUCUCUGCCUCUUCUCACUCUUUCCAUCUCUCUCAUUCCCGUCAACUUUCCCGCCGCUGGGCAUUUCUCUCGUCACCGGGCUCCCUCUCUCUAAGCAUUCUUACGUUGGUCUUUCUUUCGGCGUGUCUCCCUCUGACUCGUUGGGCUUGAAUGUGUCCAUCUCCCCCGUCCCCCCUUGUUUCUUGCUUCGCUUCUCUUUGGUCUUUGAAUGGUCUCCUCUCUCACGCUUCUUUUCUUCUCCGUCCUUUUAACGUUUCUCUCUGUUUGUGUUGUCACGGUGGCAGUGCGUACGUGUGCGUGCCGCGCGCGAGCGGACUCACUCCUCUCUCUCUCUGUGGGAACUGUGGGUCUAGCGCUGCGUGCCGACGCUUAUUCUUCUCUUCCGCCUUGCUUUUCUGCCAAGCUCGCCAGAGACAGCUCCUCUUUACCAAGAACGCACUCGCAGGCACAAUCACUCCGCAAGCGAUGCAGACGCCCGCACCCCGCGCAGAUGCACGCGCCCAUGAUAGCGGAAUCGAGGGCGACUGCUUAGAGCGCGUGCUCUCUUUGUUGAAUCUCGGCUAAUCAUCCAUGUCUUUUUUCCAUUGUUUCCCCCCUGCUCUCUCUCUCUGCGUUACCGCACUCUUUCUUCUCUGCCUGCUUACCGCCUUGCUGCGCCGCAGAUGAUGUGGAGGAGUAACUCUGCAACGCCAAACGAAAAAAGAACGGAUAACAAGAAGAUAUCGACCUUGACAAUCCCCUCCCUCCUUUCCGGGUCUCUUGCUUUCUUUUAAUGAGAAUCCACCGCGUGCUCUCCGUCUGUCUGCGUGUGCGACGACCCACCACAUUGAUCGCCUGAUGAUGUAUUAUAUUGUGCCUUUUUUUCCAUCUUAGAGCUGUUCCGUUUUUGUUGUUUUCGGUGGUGAGAUGCCCACGUUUUGUUGCUUGUCUCUCUUGUUGGCGGUGUUUUGUUGUUGUGGCACCCUCCUCCCGUUCUUUUCAUGUGCGCUGCUGCCUUCUCCUUUGCUUUCUCUCUCACCGGGUGUUUACAUGUGCUCCGUGCGUGUAGGUGCGUGGGGAUGUCACCCCUUCCCCUGUAUCUCCUCCGCCUCCUCCUUGUCUGUUUAUGCCGCCGUUUGGACCACUAUUUCUCGUUUCGCUUGCCACGCUUCUUCGCUUGUCUUUCUUCCUUUUUUGCGCUUUUUCAUCGCUCCUACAUGCGCGUUGAAGAACAACGCGCAGGGCCCACAAUCACGUAAGCAGACCCACACGCCCCGAGUGAUGUGGACGCGUUUAUGCCCGUAUGUGUGCGCGUGUAUGCUUCAGCUGCCUGCUAGUACAGGCAGGCUAGCAACAGAU
rnacentral:misc_RNA from 1 species